UACGUAGGGGGCAAGCGUUGUCCGGAUUUAUUGGGCGUAAAGAGCGUGUAGGCGGUUAGGUAGGUCCGUUGUGAAAACUCGAGGCUCAACCUCGAGACGCCGAUGGAAACCAUCUGACUAGAGUCCGGAAGAGGAGAAUGGAAUUCCCGGUGUAGCGGUGAAAUGCGCAGAUAUCGGGAAGAACACCCGUGGCGAAGGCGGUCU
rnacentral:rRNA from 1 species